GUGAAUCAUCGAAUUUUUGAACGCAAAUUGCACUCUCUUCGGAGAGUAUGCCUGUUUGAGGGUCAGCCUAAAAAAAAUCGACAUAGUUGCUGUUACGCGGUAACAUUCGUCGGAAAUUGGGUCAUCUUAAACCUUUGGGUUUAGGGGCUUUAAAUUUUUCUUUCCGAUUCAAAGAACGUUUUAAGGUUUUAUUUUUUUUUACCGUUUAAGUU
rnacentral:misc_RNA from 1 species